UGCAAUCCGAUUUCAUGGGCUCGGUAAC
rnacentral:sRNA from 1 species